ACAGGGUGCACCUGAAUGCACCAUGAAAUCCUUCUCGGCGUCUACAGGUGCACACACUGGUGCACACUGCACAUGGCGCGUUGUUUAUGUGAAACCAGGGGAAAGGAGAAAUGGCUCCCCACAGCCGACGUUAGGAAAGCAGGAGGGUUUUCCAGUUCUGUUGUUUCUUCGACAUCUCUGACUGGCAGUGGCCAGGGUGUCUGUGAAAGUACAGCUGCAGGCCACAGUUUUUGUCUGGACACAUUUGGAAACCUGGACAAUCCCUGACAAGCCAGGAUGUCUAGACACCCCUGUUACAACCCAACCUAGUCCAGAAUGAAAACUAAAGGGGACAGAACUUUUGCAUUCAGGACCCUGAGGCGCUGAGAAGACCUGCCGGAGGGAAAAAGGUCUCUUAUCUUGAUUCCAUCUGAGCUGCCUGUUUAAUUGAUUGUUUUAAUUUCUUAUUCAGUUUGGUUAUUUCUCAGUUUUGCCCUUCAUGUAUUUUACCAUUAAGGUUUUAUUUUUCUCCCUGUGAAGCACUACGCACUUUGUGUUUUUAAAACGAUGUUUAUCAUUAUUUCGAUUGAUCAUCAAAUCAUCAGUUUUCCCUGACAAAAAUAGAUUGGCCUGAU